GCUCCGGUCCCACGCAAUGGAAAUCUAUGAACCGUGUCAGGUCGGGAACGAAGCAGCACUAAGUAGAACCUUUCAUGUGACGUGGGGGUUCCGGGGUCUG
rnacentral:SRP_RNA from 1 species